rnacentral:snRNA from 1 species
AGAUAGCAGAGUGAUCUAACUGCAACAUCUGUUACCACAUAGAUUGCCAACAUUGAUUCAGUGCCAUUGGCUAACUCGGCAGGUGUCUCCUUUCCCCUUCAUCAUUCAUGUGCCUCCCUCCUGAAACUGUGUCCUGGAUUGGAGGAUGGACUUCCCUGGUCAAGAGCAAGUGUUUUUUGAUCAGGGCCAGACAAAUAGCUUAUCCCUAUCCACUACACACACCCAAAAUAACCUGUAAGCAAGCUGUCUAGAAUACCAAGAGGGGCUUUUCUU